AUUAGCUCAGGUGGUAGAGCAUCGGACUUUUAAUCCGAGUGUCACAGGUUCGAAUCCUGUAUG
rnacentral:tRNA from 2 species